rnacentral:rRNA from 1 species
AUUGAACGCUGGCGGAAUGCUUUACACAUGCAAGUCGAACGGCAGCGCGGACUUCGGUCUGGUGGCGAGUGGCGAACGGGUGAGUAACAUAUCGGAACGUAUCCAAUAAUGGGGGAUAACUAAUCGAAAGGUUGGCUAAUACCGCAUACGCCCUACGGGGGAAAGCUAGGGACCUUCGGGCCUGGCGUUAAUGGAGCGGCCGAUAUCUGAUUAGCUAGUUAGUGGGGUAAAGGCCCACCAAGGCGACGAUCAGUAGCUGGUCUGAGAGGACGACCAGCCACACUGGAACUGAGACACGGUCCAGACUCCUACGGGAGGCAGCAGUGGGGAAUUUUGGACAAUGGGCGCAAGCCUGAUCCAGCCAUUCCGCGUGAGUGAAGAAGGCCUUCGGGUUGUAAAGCUCUUUCGCAGGGGAAGAAAACUUACCCUCUAACAUAGGGUGAGGUUGACGGUACCUUGAUAAGAAGCACCGGCUAACUACGUGCCAGCCGCCGCCGUAA